UCACGCAUUAAAUUAUCUACCAUGCAAACACAAAUUGGAACUUUCUCAACUUUUCUAGUAUUUGUUUUGAUUUUUUUAUACAUCAAAGGUGAGCCUAGGCAUCGGAUCGUGGCUUUGUGUAAUGAUGUACUUUUUUAACCUUGUUACCCUUUUCUCUUGGUUUUUUAGGAUGAGAUACAAUAAAAAAUAUGAGAAGGUUUGGUCGUUGAUGUCAUUGAAUAACAAGAGACCGAUGAAGCUUUAUGACGUAAGUAGAUGUGAUUGUUAGUUAUAUAUGUUGGUGUCAUGUGAUGUGAGAUAGUAUGCUUGUACUUUUGUAUGUUGUAUGAUAAAGCUUGAAAAGAAAUCAUAUAAUGGAUUUUGAAUGCACAUUUUUGUGUCAUGUUUGUUUGUGAAAACAUGUCAUAGUAAAUUAGUUACUGUCUAGCUGAUUUUAGAACUAAUUAACGCAUCGUUAAGAUCACACAUUGCACAUAGUGUUUUUGGAUCUAAUUGCGUGUGAUGGCAUUUACAUCUCACACAUUUUAAUAUUUUUAAUUGUGUGCAAUGACUCGCGCAUUACAUAUAUUUUUUAUGAAAUUAUCACGUGUGAUGCUAUUCCAAAUUGCACAGAGUUUUAUGUUGAAUUGUGUGAGAUGUACCCCAACCCAUAAACAGUUUUAGUAGUGUGUGCGAUGGAUCCUCUAUCGCCCGCCCACACAAGGUGACUGUUUGAAAN
rnacentral:lncRNA from 1 species